ACCCUUCACAUGGGAGGGCACAAGAAGGAAGAAGAGAAACACAAGGGAGAAGCUCAUCACGAAGGCGGCCAUGGCCAUGGUUAUGGCGCCGCUGAGCACAAGGGAGAAGUUCAUCACGAAGGCGGCCAUGGCUAUGGUUAUGGCGCCGCUGAGCACAAGGGAGAAGUUCAUCACGAAGGCGGCCAUGGCUAUGGGGCCGCUGCGGCCGCCGGUCACGGUCACGGCGAGCAGCACAAGGAAGGGUUUAUGGAUAAGAUCAAGGACAAGAUCCACGGCGAGGGAGGUCAUGAACCUGGUCAUGAGGGCGAAAAGAAAAAGAAGAAGGAGAAGAAGAAGCAUGAAGAUGGCCAUGAAAGCAGCAGCAGCAGCGACAGUGAUUAGAUCUUCCAUCAUCGUCUUAGUAUUCCUCUCCCUUAUGGUAUCGGG
rnacentral:lncRNA from 1 species